CACGAAACGUUUGUUCGCCACCACAGGCCACAGCAACCUAACUAAGUACAUUAUAUUUAUUGUAUAUUUGUGAUUUGUGAUAAAAGCAAUAAAUACUUGCGUAUCAAUUAUAAAAAUACAAAAAAUAUAAUACAUUUAGUUAGGUUGCUGUGGACUGUGGUGGCGAACAAACGUUUCGUG